UGGCCUUUCACUUCCUGUUUCACAGACCGUUCAGGUGAAGGUGAAGAAUGCUCAGUGAGAAUACAUAAAUCAUGAGUCCCAUCCAGAACUUUCUGUCCCCUUUGCUGCUCCAGAGGGCUGAAGUGGUGGAGCUUUUACUCAGUCUUGGCACUCAAUUCAACAGAGGUUGUUGUAUCAAAGGGCUGCAGCCCAUGGAGAGAGCCUGUGAAGGAGCAGAGAAGGAGUGGAAUGAGAAACUACUGUGUACUGACCCCAUCCACCUGUGCCAUCGGAGUUAGGGGUGGAAGGCUCCACAGUGAAGCUGAGCAUGGGAAAGGGAAUAUAUGUGUUGCUGACUCUAUCAAUGGCCUUCAGAAUCUCUUCAUCUCAAACAACAUUGGAGAGAAGUUGUACUGCACUACAAAGGCUGAAAGUGCCUUGAUAGUAAUUGCUUCAAGAAUACUAUUUGCCUUCUGCCAAGAGAAAGGUGGAUUCAUAAGGAGGAUGCUCUGGAUCGGGGCAGCUGGAAGUAAGGAUGCCACGUGUCUGUUUUGAAAAAAAGUGUGGCAGAAAGGCCACUAGAAGCCUGAAGUGUACAUCCACAAAUGAGUUUGAAGGCACUGAAACAGGCUGAAAGUGGGCAAAACAGACGGCCUGUGUGGAAGCUGGAGGAACCUUCAUUAAUGUAGCUUGAGAAGAUCAAAGUGGUGCACAGCGGAAGAGGCAAGAAGACUAAAAUACUUAGGUGCAACUUGGGAAAUUUCUGCUCUUUGAGUAAUUUCCUUAAGUAAUCUCAUCUCCAACUAUAGGUUUUUAGUCCAGAAACUUCCAACAGCUUAUUAGAUUGAAUAAGUUUUAGACAGCCUCGCUGAGGCUCUUUGAUGUGCUCCUUGUCACCAGCUCCACGGAUCCCCAGGAUAAGCCUGCUCUACCUCGCACUCCACAACCACAACCUUUGGCAGUGUGAGUCUUCUCCCAGGCAUUCCCUCUCUUCCAGAAUUCAGCAGCCAAGAAAACAAGAACAGCUUAUCUUCUGCUGACCAACUCUUUUCUUCCACAAAUGCAGAAGCUGUUGUGUUUCCUAAGUAUCUGAGUGCAGAGAUUUAUAGUUUAAAUCCAGUGUAUACACCAAAUACUUAGUUAAAUUCCAGAACUAGGAAUGCAGCCUUGGAGAGAUCAAAAUUAAUCUGUCCCCUUUAUCAGCAUUGUCAGAGCCUCUGCUGGAUGUAUUAUUUCCUGGUUUUGUCACCGUGUUUCAAAAGAAGAUAGGAGAGCUUCAGAAAAGAACAGAGUAAUGGCAGUGAUCAGAAAUGGAGAAGAUGUGAGGAAAUUCUGGCAAAAAGAGUUGGGAAAUUGCAUAAAGGAGAAAGGAAUACUUUUCAGGGAAGGAAGAGGAAAAAGGAUGACACGAUAACUUGUUUUCUUUUCAUUAAAGAAUCUUGCAAAUGGGAAUGAAACAACUGUUCCCAGUACCUAAGGGACAGAACAGAUGGAAAAGAGCUUAAAAGACAUAAGAAAGGCUCACAUUAGAAGAUAAACUCUCUAAACAAUAGGG
rnacentral:lncRNA from 1 species